UACAGAGGGGGCAAGCGUUGUUCGGAAUUAUUGGGCGUAAAGGGUGCGUAGGCGGUGCGGUAAGUCUUCUGUGAAAUCUACGGGCUUAACUCGUAGUCUGCAGGAGAAACUGCCGUGCUUGAGUAUGGGGAGGGGUGAGUGGAAUUCCUGGUGUAGCGGUGAAAUGCGUAGAUAUCAGGAGGAACACCUGUGGCGAAGGCGGUUCUCUGGGCCUUACCUGACGCUGAGGAGCGAAAGCGUGGGGAGCGAACGGG
rnacentral:rRNA from 1 species